GUAAAAAGUGGUAACAAGGUUUCCGUAGGUAGCAGUUUUGCCUACUAGAGCAGCCCAACGGCCGCUAGUCUCCCCUGGAGGCGACACGCUCAGCAUGCGGAAAAACCCUGAACUCAGGGAAACCCGCAGCCCACCGCGCUUACCCGGCGCUGUGGGUCCAGAGACUCGAUGAGCGUGGGUGCUAAGCUUUAGCGCUUGAGAUAGAGCCCGUCCCCGCUGGGAACUGCGGGGGAUGAACGGAACCUGCGGAAGGAUCAUUA
rnacentral:rRNA from 1 species